rnacentral:rRNA from 1 species
AUUGAACGCUGGCGGCAGGCCUAACACAUGCAAGUCGAACGCGUGGCGGACGGGUGAGUAAUGUCUGGGAAACUGCCUGAUGGAGGGGGAUCACUACUGGAAACGGUAGCUAAUACCGCAUACCCUCGGAUGCCCCCAGAUGGGUUUAGCGAGUAGGUGGGGUAAAGGCUCACCUAGGCGAUGAGCCCUAGCUGGUCUGAGAGGAGGACCAGCCACACUGGAACUGAGACACGGUCCAGACUCCGACGGGAGGCAGCAGUGGGGAAUAUUGCACAAUGGGCGAAAGCCUGAUGCAGCCAUGCCGCGUGUAUGAAGAAGGCCUUCGGGUUGUAAAGUACUUUCAGCGGGGAGGCGUUACCCGCAGAAGAAGCACCGGCUAACUCCGUGCCAGCAGCCGCGGUAAUUC